rnacentral:rRNA from 1 species
UACGUAGGGUGCGAGCGUUAAUCGGAAUUACUGGGCGUAAAGGGUGCGCAGGCGGCCGCGCAAGUCGAGCGUGAAAGCCCCGGGCUUAACUUGGGAAUUGCGCUCGAAACUGCGUGGCUGGAGUGUGGCAGAGGAAGGUGGAAUUCCACGUGUAGCGGUGAAAUGCGCAGGUAUCAGGAGGAACACCGGUGGCGAAGGCAGCUCGCUGGGACGGUACUGACGCUAAGGCGCGAAAGCGUGGGGAGCAAACAGG